rnacentral:rRNA from 1 species
GAUGAACGCUGGCGGCGUGCCUAAUACAUGCAAGUCGAGCGAACGGACGAGAAGCUUGCUUCUCUGAUGUUAGCGGCGGACGGGUGAGUAACACGUGGAUAACCUACCUAUAAGACUGGGAUAACUUCGGGAAACCGGAGCUAAUACCGGAUAAUAUUUUGAACCGCAUGGUUCAAAAGUGAAAGACGGUCUUGCUGUCACUUAUAGAUGGAUCCGCGCUGCAUUAGCUAGUUGGUAAGGUAACGGCUUACCAAGGCAACGAUGCAUAGCCGACCUGAGAGGGUGAUCGGCCACACUGGAACUGAGACACGGUCCAGACUCCUACGGGAGGCAGCAGUAGGGAAUCUUCCGCAAUGGGCGAAGGCCUGACGGAGCAACGCCGCGUGAGUGAUGAAGGUCUUCGGAUCGUAAAACUCUGUUAUUAGGGAAGAACAUAUGUGUAAGUAACUGUGCACAUCUUGACGGUACCUAAUCAGAAAGCCACGGCUAACUACG